ACCAGCCGUGACCUGCAAGGCAUAGUCGCGAUGCCCGGUGGGUUUACGAACGAUGGUGCAAUCGCAGCAACCAUAGUUGUUUGCCACUGAAGUUGCGUUAGUCCCGUAUCUUCUGUUGAAGUGCGCAUAAAGCAGGGUUAAACUUGUAACCCAAAUUGAUAACUUAAUACCGCAUAUAAAAGGCCGUAAUAUUUAUUGACAUCAAUGAGCAUUAUCGCAGAGAAGGGAACACAGCAGGCGGGAAGAUCGCAAAAGUACGGCCGUAGUCAGCCGUAGUUGCGCACAGCACGUGUGCAUUGGCGGCUACCAUGUUGCAGUGUACUGUAGCCAUGUCAAGGCGAGGUGUGCGCGAUUUUUAGUGAAUUAACGAUGUGUUUUUAAGGAACCCGAGGUGCUGGCGUCUGCACAAUCUUAUUUCUGCAGUAUAAUACUUGGAUAUGGGUGUUGUGUGACUUCAAAACAACGGAAAGCAACUGUUUUUACCCCUGUGCUUAGUGGAUCUAUCAGCGUGCAUCGAUGUGAUGUGUCUUCGCCGGCGCCGAUUCCUUUCCAUUUGGAGGUUUUUCUGACCACCCCAAAAGGACGUUCUCUGGUCGAAGUGGUGGAGUAAAAGCUCUGGCAAUCAAAAUUGCUGACCUGACGAAGAUCUCGAAAGAGAAAUCUGUAAAAAUAUUUGUGUGCUAAUAAAUGCUCCUAGCAAUUA